UACGUAGGUGGCGAGCGUUGUCCGGAUUUACUGGGCGUAAAGAGCGCGCAGGCGGCUGGUCAAGUCCGAUGUGAAAGCUCCCGGCUUAACUGGGAAAUUGCAUCGGAAACUGAUCGGCUGGAAGGUGGGAGAGGAGAGCGGAAUUCCCAGUGUAGAGGUGAAAUUCGUAGAUAUUGGGAAGAACACCGGUGGCGAAGGCGGCUCUCUGGACCGAUACUGACGCUGAGGCGCGAAAGCGUGGGGAGCAAACAGG
rnacentral:rRNA from 1 species